GACGGAGGGAGCUAGCGUUGUUCGGAAUGACUGGGCGUAAAGGGUGCGUAGGCGGUUUGUUAAGUUAGACGUGAAAGCCCUAGGCUUAACCUAGGAUGUGCGUUUAAUACUGGCUGACUAGAGAUCGAGAGAGGAAAAUGGAAUUCCUAGUGUAGAGGUGAAAUUCUUAGAUAUUAGGAGGAACACCAGAGGCGAAGGCGGUUUUCUGGCUCGUAUCUGACGCUGAGGCACGAAAGCGUGGGGAUCAAACAGG
rnacentral:rRNA from 1 species